rnacentral:rRNA from 1 species
GUCAUGGAAGAAGAGUCCGCUUGCCGGUCUCCCUUUCGAAAUGCAAUGGCGGAAGGUCUCUUGUACCCAGCGUAGUAAUAACUUUUCGCUUUGUGCAUUGAUUCAUUCCUGCCGUCAAACCCCCAAUUUUCUUAGGUUGACCUCGGAUCAGGUAGGGAUACCCGCUGAACUUAAGCAUAUCAAUAAGCGGAGGAAAAGAAACCAACAGGGAUUGCCUUAGUAACUGCGAGUGAAGCGGCAAAAGCUCAAAUUUGAAAUCUGACGUCUUCGGCGUCCGAGUUGUAAUUUGGAGGGAUAACUUCGGGGUUGGCGCCGUCCUAAGUUCCUUGGAACAGGACGUCACAGAGGGUGAGAAUCCCGUGCCUGGAUGGCUGUCCAACUCCAUGUGAAGUGUCUCCGA